rnacentral:rRNA from 1 species
GCCCAGCGCUAAAUCUGCUGAUUUUCCUAAUUAGUCAGAAAUGUGGCGUAUAGGUGUGAUUGAUUUCGGAUCGUACGUUUCUCGUUCGCCCUAAGUCCUCCUUGAUUGGGGCCACGGUCCAUAGAAGGUGCUAGACCUGUUCGGGUGGCGAAACGUACGAUACCCGGUCACACUUUAGAGUCGAGUUGCCUGGGAUCGCAGCUCAAAGUAGGUGGUAGACUUCAUCUAAGGCUAAAUAUGGCCACGAGACCGAUAGCGAACAAGUACCGUGAGGGAAAGUUGAAAAGAACUGUGAAGAGAGAGUUAAAAAGGACGUGAAACCGCUGGGAUUGAAGCGGAUAGAGUUGACGAAACUUUAAUCAACAUUCAGCCGAUUCAACGAAUAUCGUAUGUUUGGCGUCAUGUACGCGUCGUUGCGCGUAUUUGUGCUGUUUUCGCAAUACGCAAAUACGUGAUCAAUGAACGUCGACAUGGCUAAUUGCGAUUUGCUAACAAUUCGUUGUAUGUGCGCUUUUUUGUGCACAUGUGAGAAAAUCGGUGAUUUUGUUGGUGGUAUGCGUCGAGUGGCUUGUCAUAGCGUAUCAUUGCCGUACUAGUUGAUAGUAGAUCAUCGAUGUGCUGUGCUCGUCAUGCAUGUUGUUAAUGAAUCUUGUCGGUACGUGCGCAAUCGCAGAUAUCGCAGCGAUAAGUCUGGAUGAAAACUCGAUGUGAACGUCGAUCACCUAUCCGACCCGUCUUGAAACACGGACCAAGGAGUCUAGCACAUACGCGAGUCAAUGGGUAUAUCGAAAACCUAUAGGCGUAAUGAAAGUGAAAUAUUGUGUGCGAUUAAAUGCGCGCGCACAAUUGAUGUGCGAUUUGUUGUUUUUCUUAACCGACGUACAACGAAGCAGCAUAGCCCCGUUCAUGUUGUUUGUGCGACUUGUGCGUCACACAACCGAACGGAGGAAGAGCGUAUGCGCUGGUACCCGAAAGAUGGUGAACUAUGCCUGAGCAGGAUGAAGCCAGAGGAAACUCUGGUGGAAGUCCGAAGCGGUUCUGACGUGCAAAUC